GAAUUCACGAGUGAUUCAGGCCUAACACAUGCAAGUCGAACGGCAGCACGGACUUCGGUCUGGUGGCGAGUGGCGAACGGGUGAGUAAUAUAUCGGAACAUACCCAGUAGUGGGGGAUAACUAUCCGAAAGGAUAGCUAAUACCGCAUACGAUCUGUGGAUGAAAGCAGGGGAUCUUCGGACCUUGUGCUAUUGGAAUGGCCGAUAUCUGAUUAGCUAGUUGGUAGGGUAAAAGCCUACCAAGGCGACGAUCAGUAGCUGGUCUGAGAGGACGACCAGCCACACUGGAACUGAGACACGGUCCAGACUCCUACGGGAGGCAGCAGUGGGGAAUUUUGGCCAAUGGGGGCAACCCUGA
rnacentral:rRNA from 1 species